CCUACGGGUGGCAGCAGUGAGGAAUAUUGGUCAAUGGACGAGAGUCUGAACCAGCCAAGUAGCGUGAAGGAUGACUGCCCUAUGGGUUGUAAACUUCUUUUAUAUGGGAAUAAAACGUUCCACGUGUGGGAUUUUGUAUGUACCAUAUGAAUAAGGAUUGGCUAACUCCGUGCCAGCAGCCGCGGUAAUACGGAGGAUCCGAGCGUUAUCCGGAUUUAUUGGGGUUAAAGGGAGCGUAGGUGGAUUGUUAAGUCAGUUGUGAAAGUUUGCGGCUCAACCGUAAAAUUGCAGUUGAAACUGGCAGUCUUGAGUACAGUAGAGGUGGGCGGAAUUCGUAGUGUAGCGGUGAAAUGCUUAGAUAUCACGAAGAACUCCGAUUGCGAAGGCAGUUCACUGGACUGCAACUGACACUGAGGCUCGAAAGUGUGGGUAUCAAACAGGAUUAGAUACCCGUGUAGUC
rnacentral:rRNA from 1 species